rnacentral:snoRNA from 1 species
GUUUUAUGAAAUGUGUGUCAACUGAUCCCAGAAUCCCCUGGGCCUGGGUUGGCCUUCUGUCAGCUGGUUGUUACUGGGCCUCAGGGCUCUGGGGGCAUGAUCUGACAGUCACCCUGAAAAC